CUGACAUGUCUCUUGGGAAGAGUAACAUGAAGCUCAAAAUUUUGGGCGUAUUCAAUACUCCUAAAUAAAAAGGGAAUUGGUUUAUGGUCGAGUCAGUAAAAAUAAAUAACUAGGAAUUUUGAGUUGUACCUCGUGAAAAAAAGACUUCUUUUUUUGUGGAAUUAACCGUUCUCAUUUCUUUUAGUUCUUUUAGAAAGAAAUGAAAUUAUGUUCAUGAAAAAUGGUUACACAAAGGUACAGAAUGUAUCGUCAAAUAUUCAAUAUGAUUCCACAAGAUCUAGUUUCGUUCAAGUAACGGAUUCUCGCCAAUUGAAAGGAUCUUCUGAUCAAUCCAGAGAUCGUUUCGAUUCCAUUAGUAAUGAGGAUUCGGAAUAUCACACAUUGAUCAAUCAAAGAGAGAUUCAACAACUAAAAGAAAGAUCGAUUCUUUGGGAUCCUUCCUUUAUUCAAACGGAACGAACGGAGAUAGAAUCAGACCGAUUCCCUAAGUGCCUUUUUGGAUAUUCGUCAAUGUCUCGGCUAUUCACGGAACGUGAGAAGCGGAUGAAUAAUCAUCUGCUUCCGGAAGAAAUCGAAGAAUUUCUUGGGAAUCCUACAAGAUCCAUUCGUUCUUUUUUCUCUGAUAGUUGGUCAGAACUUCAUCUGGGUUCGAACCCUACUGAGAGGUCCACUAGAGAUUAGAAAUUGUUGAAGAAAGAACAAGAUGUUUCUUUUGUCCCUUCCAGGUGAUCGGAAAAUAAAGAAAUAGUUAAUAUAUUCAGAACUAAUCCAUAUGCUCCCAUUUUUAAUAAAAUUCUGGCUAGAAGCAUACAAGUACUGUAAUGGGCCUUCCCGUGGGUAUCCGGUAACCACGUAUGUAAGGGUAUAAUCGGUGAUUUGACAGCAAAAGCAAUAAGAAAUCCAAUAUAGAAUAUUAUUUCCAGUGCGACAGGAUAUGAUUGAUUAGCUAAUGUUUCAAAAUUUAAUGUUGGUUCAUUAGAACCGUAUAAAUCGAGACCCAAAACUCCUAUUAAUAGAAAAACGGAACCCCCUGCGGUGUACAAAAUAAAUUUUGUAGCCGAGUACAGACGUUUCUUUCCCCCCCCACAUGGAUAGAAGUAGAUAAACGGGAAUUAAUUCGAACUCCCACAUGAUGAAAAAAAGUAAAAGGUCUUAUUUUACUUUAUUUCAUAUAUAUAUAUUAGUUAAUAAUAUUAAUAAUAAUACAUUAUAAUAAUACAAUAUAAUAAUAAUAUUUAAUUCAUAAAUAUAUUUUACUUAAAUUAUAAGAAAAUAUUUUAUUUUAUUACAAGUGUAUUUAUAUAUAUUUUAUACAUGUACCAUUAAUCAUUAUACAAUUGUCUUCAUUUUAAUUUAUUUUAAUAAUAAUAAUAAUAAUAAUAAUAAUCAUAAUUUAAUAAUUUAAUAUAAAACUAUAAUAAUAAUGAUAAUAAAUAUCUAUUUAAUAACAAAUACAUAUAUCACAAUUGUACAUAUAAAUAUUUUUACAUUUGUAUAUUAUCAUAACCAUCCAUUUGUCCUUUUUUAUUUAUUUAUUUAUCAUACAAAAAUCUUAUAAUAUAAUUAUUUAAUUAAUAAAUAUCUUUUAACUUAAAUUUUGAGUAAAAAAAUAAUUAUAAUACAAGUGUAUAUAUAUACAUUAUUACACUUGUAUCAUCUUAUCACCAUACACUUGUCUUAAUUUAUUUUAUUUCAUAAUAUAAUAAUAUUAAUAAUAAUAUUUAAAUAAAAACCAUAAUAAUAAUUAUAAUAAUAAAUUGAUAACAGAAUCUCAAGAUUUUUAUACUCAUUAACCGCCUUAUUCUAAGCAAUUAGUCUAAUUGUUUAUUUAGCCCCUUAAGUUUUUCUUUAAUCUAUAAUUAAACUUUUGCCCUUUAUGUAAUUUAAUCCUUUUUCCUAAUUUCUCCUAAUUAAGUUAAAUUCACCUAACUAAUGCCUAAUUAAACAUACUACUAAACUCAUAAAUAUUUCUAUUAAUUAUUUACGAAUUCUGUUUAUUAAGAUGGAGGCCCGAUAAUGCACUUUUCCAAUGCCAGUGAAUUUUGGGUCAUUACAAUGACACCAUGUCUUGAGACUUGUACCUCAAUUUUAAGAAUUUAACUUCAUUAUUUUAUGUCUUGAGACAAUGUAACCAUGUUUCUUGACUUGACACAUUAUGUCUCAAGACAAACUUGCAAUAUCUCGAGACUUGACCUAGAAAUGCAUGAAUCUCAUGAAAUUGUUCUUGAGGUCUUGAGACAUGUGCUUGAUAUCUUGAGAAACAUGCAUAGAUAUGUGAAAAUUAAGCAUUACAAGUCAUGCAUUAGAGUCUCUAAAUUUACCUAAACAUGUCCAACAUGCAAUCAAUCCAUUGCAAACAUAUUUGAUAUACUUAAACAAGUUAAAACAUGGUUAUUAACAUAAUGGAUAACAAACUCACAAGGUAAGAAAAUUGUAUCACUUAGAGGCAUGCAUAGACCAUGCAAUUUUGCAUCACAACCCAAAUCCAAAAGUGUUCAAAAGUCCCCUAAAAAAACCAAAAUGUACCAAAUGUGCCAAAUAUCUAAAAAAAAACCACAUAGAAACAUACUUAAGACAUGAAAACUCAAAUCGCUCAGGUUAUCAAUAUUUUAGUUCAACAACAUUAAAUCAUAUUAAUUAUUUGGCCCCUAUUAACCAAUUAUAGAGCGAAGAACAAAUACACAUAGUAAUACCUUAACAUGCCAAAUAGUUGCGCACAAGCACCAAAUUGACAAAUAUAGACCAAUGCAAGUAAAACAAAACCGCCCUUAACAUACUAAUAAUGCACACAAGUUCCAAAUAUGAAUGUCCACAAGUGCCAAUGAUAAUUCACACAAGCUUUGUUACACCCAUAUCUCGUUUUCGUCUCCAAAAUAGUGUUACAGAGCAUUAUCGUACAAUUCAGAACUUUUUAUAACAAGUAGCAUCCAAUUAUCAAAUGAAUUUAACAAAUACAUAUAUAAUUCAAAAUAGAAUAAAACAUACAUUCGCGAACCUUAAAUCGAGCCUACGAGGCCUCAAAAAUAGUUUAGGAAAAAUCUGAGACCAAUUCGAAAUAAAAUAGGAGAUUUGGGACAAAAAUGAAAAUUUUCAAAAAUAAGGGUCACACGGCUGUGUGUCUAGGCCAUGUGACAAAGCCUAGAUCGUGUGGCUCAAAAUAUGGUUUUAUGGCUACUCCACAAGCUCGUGUGCACACUCGUGUGUCCACCUAUGUAACUCACUGACUUAAGUUACACGGUCAUGUCGCAGGCUAUGUGCCAGCCCAUGUGAAUCCUGCACCUAACAUGCUUGAGGCACACACCCGUGUAGGUUGCCCGUGUGUGCCCAAAAGUGACCCAAAAAAUAUUCAUUCCACAUCCAAAUGCUUAGGUACCUAAACACAUCAAAAGUACAUGCAUACAAGCCCACAAAAAACAUUCAAAGGCACUCAAAUUAUGAAAAAACGAUCAACUUAUGUACUUAGCCAAUGUUCCAUCAUUGACAUCGCAAUUCAAAUGCAUAAAUUUCAUUAUCUUAUUUAAAAUGCAAAAGCGACAACACACUCAAACUGACUUACAUUUAAACCCAAAUAUACCAUACCUAACUCAUGCCAACUUACAAUUUCAUGCUCACCUGCUUAUGCUUAAACUUAGAAUUUGGCUUGCAUAUAUAACCAUUAGUUAUUCAAAUAAUUUAAAUUAGAAUCUCAAUUCAUAAGUAUAUAACCUAGUGAUUAGCAGUCACACAAAUAUCAUACCAUAUUGAAUGUUAAGACUUACACUUUCCUAUUUCUAAUCAACCACAACUUGUAUCAUGUAUGCACAUAUCAAUAGCCAUUUAGCUAAACAACAUGAUAAGCACACCAAGCUAUAUAACAUGAGUACUUAAGGACUAUUACAAAACAAACUCAAAUCCCUCCCAUUACAUGCCAUAUAAGCCAAGUUCGAAUUCAAAAUCUAUCAAGAUCCUCGAUAGUGUAUUUCUUCAUGUUGGUCCGAUCUUCGACUUCUCAAAAUAGUAUCUACAAGGAAACAAA
rnacentral:lncRNA from 1 species